rnacentral:rRNA from 1 species
AGCAGCCGCGGUAAUUCCAGCUCCAAUAGCGUAUAUUAAAGUUGUUGCAGUUAAAAAGCUCGUAGUUGAAUUUCGGGAUUAGUACGUUGGUCGUGCCUUNGGUACGUACUGGUGUUACUGNUUCCUACCUUCUGACGAACCAUCAUGUCAUUAAUUUGGUGUGGCGGGGAAUCAGGACUGUUACUUUGAAAAAAUUAGAGUGUUUAAAGCAGGCUCGCGCUUGAAUACAUUAGCAUGGAAUAAUGAAAUAGGACGUUGACCCUAUUUUGUUGGUUUCUAGGAUUGACGUAAUGAUUAAUAGGGAUAGUUGGGGGCAUUAGUAUUCAAUUGUCAGAGGUGAAAUUCUUGGAUUUAUUGAAGACUAACUACUGCGAAAGCAUUUGCCAAGGAUGUUUUCAUUAAUCAAGAACGAAAGUUAGGGGAUCGAAGACGAUCAGAUACCGUCGUAGUCUUAACCAUAAACUAUGCCGACUAGGGAUCGGAUGAUG